GGGUCAGUAGGUUGGUCGUGCCACCGGUACGUACUGGUCUCACUGAUUCCUCCUUCCUUAAGAACCGUAAUUCCAUUAAUUUGGUGUUGCGGGGAAAAAGGACUGUUACUUUGAAAAAAUUAGAGUGUUUAAAGCAAGCUAACGCUUGAAUACAUUAGCAUGGAAUAAUGAAAUAGGACGAUCGAUCCUAUUUUGUUGGUUUCUAGGAUUGACGUA
rnacentral:rRNA from 1 species